AGAACGAACGCUGGCGGCGUGGAUAAGACAUGCAAGUCGAACGGGACUUAAUCGGUAGCAAUACAGGUUAAGUUUAGUGGCGAACGGGUGCGUAACACGUGGGGAAUCUGCCGAGAAGUGGGGGAUAGCUCGCCGAAAGGCGAAUUAAUACCGCAUAUGAUCAGCGAAGACAUCUUAGCGACAUCAAAGCCGGGGCAACCUGGCGCUUCUUGAUGACCCCGCGGCCUAUCAGCUAGUUGGUGAGGUAACGCUCACCAAGGCUAUGACGGGUA
rnacentral:rRNA from 1 species